rnacentral:rRNA from 1 species
UACGGAGGGUGCGAGCGUUGUUCGGAAUUACUGGGCGUAAAGCGCGCGCAGGCGGCUCUUUAAGUCUGACGGUGAAAUGCCGGGGCUCAACCCCGUGCCCGCCGCGGAUACUGGAGAGCUGGAGACACGUAGAGGCAAGCGGAAUUCCGGGUGUAGCGGUGGAAUGCGUAGAGAUCCGGAAAGAACACCGGUGGCGAGGCGGCCUGCUGGGCA